rnacentral:lncRNA from 1 species
UACUGUACACAUUCAUCUAAUUGCAUGCCACAUUUCUUCUUAACAUUAUAGGCUUGCUCGACCUGUUUCCACCAUGGCGAGUCUGACCUAAUUGUGAAUUUCUACGCCCACUCUGCCAAUAGGGUAAGGUUCAUUUGUUCUAAAUUUCUAAUGCCCAAGCCAUCUUCUUCUUUAGAUAUACAGACACAAUCUCAAUUCAUCACGUAAUAAAAUCUGCUAACCUUCUCUUGUCCCUUUCGUAGAAAAGUACAGC